rnacentral:rRNA from 1 species
ACGCACGCUGGCGGCGUGCCUCAUCCCUGCCAGUAGAACGCUGAAGGAGGAGCUUGCUUCUCUGGAUGAGUUGCGAACGGGUGAGUAACGCGUAGGUAACCUGCCUGGUAGCGGGGGAUAACUAUUGGAAACGAUAGCUAAUACCGCAUAAGAGUAGAUGUUGCAUGACAUUUGCUUAAAAGGUGCAAUUGCAUCACUACCAGAUGGACCUGCGUUGUAUUAGCUAGUUGGUGGGGUAACGGCUCACCAAGGCGACGAUACAUAGCCGACCUGAGAGGGUGAUCGGCCACACUGGGACUGAGACACGGCCCAGACUCCUACGGGAGGCAGCAGUAGGGAAUCUUCGGCAAUGGACGGAAGUCUGACCGAGCAACGCCGCGUGAGUGAAGAAGGUUUUCGGAUCGUAAAGCUCUGUUGUAAGAGAAGAACGAGUGUGAGAGUGGAAAGUUCACACUGUGACGGUAUCUUACCAGAAAGGGACGGCUAACUACGUG